rnacentral:rRNA from 1 species
GAUGAACGCUGGCGGCGUGCCUAGUACAUGCAAGUCGAGCGAACAGACGAGGAGCUUGCUCCUCUGACGUUAGCGGCGGACGGGUGAGUAACACGUGGAUAACCUACCUAUAAGACUGGGAUAACUUCGGGAAACCGGAGCUAAUACCGGAUAAUAUAUUGAACCGCAUGGUUCAAUAGUGAAAGACGGUUUUGCUGUCACUUAUAGAUGGAUCCGCGCCGCAUUAGCUAGUUGGUAAGGUAACGGCUUACCAAGGCAACGAUGCGUAGCCGACCUGAGAGGGUGAUCGGCCACACUGGAACUGAGACACGGUCCAGACUCCUACGGGAGGCAGCAGUAGGGAAUCUUCCGCAAUGGGCGAAAGCCUGACGGAGCAACGCCGCGUGAGUGAUGAAGGUCUUCGGAUCGUAAAACUCUGUUAUUAGGGAAGAACAAAUGUGUAAGUAACUAUGAACGUCUUGACGGUACCUAAUCAGAAAGCCACGGCUAACUACGUG